GACGAACCGUGCGAACGUUAUUCGGAAUCACUGGGCUUAAAGCGCGUGUAGGCGGAUGGGAACGUCGGAUACUGAAAGCCCCCGGCUCAACCGGGGAAGUGGUUCCGAAACGACCUGUCUGGAGGGACGUAGGGGGAUCUGGAACUUCCGGUGGAGCGGUGAAAUGCGUUGAGAUCGGAAGGAACGCCCGUGGCGAAAGCGAGGUCCUGGACGUCUGCUGACGCUGAGACGCGAAAGCUAGGGGAGCAAACGGG
rnacentral:rRNA from 2 species